GGUUGACCUCGGAUCAGGAGGGA
rnacentral:rRNA from 1 species